AGAGUUUGAUCCUGGCUCAGGAUGAAUGCUGGCGGCGUGCCUAACACAUGCAAGUCGAGCGGCAGCGAGUUUUACACUGAAUUCUGGAAGCUUCUGGGUAAUAUAGAAGAUCUAUUCAAGAAUUUUGUGUAAAAUGUCGGCGAGCGGCGGACGGCUGAGUAACGCGUAGGAAUUUGCCCCAAAGUGAGGAAUAACUGCCCGAAAGGGUAGCUAAUGCCGCAUAUGGUCUUCGGAUUAAAGCCUUCGGGCGCUUUGGGAGAAGCCUGCGUUGGAUUAGGUAGUUGGUAGGGUAAUGGCCUACCAAGCCGACGAUCCAUAGCUGGUCUGAGAGGAUGAUCAGCCAGACUGGAACUGAGACACGGUCCAGACUCCUACGGGAGGCAGCAGUGAGGAAUCUUCCACAAUGGGCGAAAGCCUGAUGGAGCAACGCCGCGUGAAGGAUGAAGGCCUUCGGGUUGUAAACUUCUUUUAUGAGUGAAGAAUAUGACGGUAACUCAUGAAUAAGCACCGGCUAACUACGUGCCAGCAGCCGCGGUCAUACGUAGGGUGCAAGCAUUAUCCGGAGUGACUGGGCGUAAAGAGUUGCGUAGGCGGUUUAAUAAGUGAAUAGUGAAACCUGGUGGCUCAACCAUACAGACUAUUAUUCAAACUGUUAAACUCGAGAAUGGUAGAGGUAACUGGAAUUUCUAGUGUAGGAGUGAAAUCCGUAGAUAUUAGAAGGAACACCGAUGGCGUAGGCAGGUUACUGGGCCAUUUCUGACGCUAAGGCACGAAAGCGUGGGGAGCGAACCGGAUUAGAUACCCGGGUAGUCCACGCCGUAAACGAUGGAUACUAGCUGUUGGAGGUAUCGACCCCUUCAGUAGCGAAGCUAACGCGUUAAGUAUCCCGCCUGUGGAGUACGGCCGCAAGGCUAAAACAUAAAGGAAUUGACGGGGACCCGCACAAGCGGUGGAUUAUGUUCUUUAAUUCGAUGAUAACCGAAGAACCUUACCAGGGCUUGACAUCCAGGGAAGGUCUGCGAAAGUAGACUGUGCCUUUUGGAACCCUGUGACAGGUGAUGCAUGGCCGUCGU
rnacentral:rRNA from 1 species